CACCAACCUCUAGUGGGGCAGUGGGGCGGGAAACUCGGUCCCAGCCUCCGAGUUGGAAAGGCAGGAGCUCGGGUCCCGAAUCUACACUUCUCAGGGUAGGCCUUGAAGGCCUGACUGUUCCUCAGACAUAAAACCACAGUAGCAGGCUAUUUGGGAGUGACAUAGGUCCACGACGUGACAAGUCUAAUUCUCUACCAGCCAGCACUAGACGUGUCUAGAAAUGACUGUUUGCUUGAAGUCCUGGGAGGAGACUCUGCACCGGAGAUCUUUUUGUAUCUAAGGCCCGUUUGAUUGUCCACGAGGAUAAUUCACCCUGCUUGAAUUCCCUUAACCAGUCAAACGUGCAGACACGGAAUCAGGCAGUACUCUCCAGCUUGAGUCAGCGACAUCCGGGGUGUAAAUGAUUGCAGGCCCCUUGAGAAUCUGGCAAGCGAGAGAGCCUCGUAUAGCUGGCGUAAAUGAGAGUGUCAAAAUGGAAAAGCUGCAUGUUGUACAAGCUUAGGUCCCUAUCUUCGUGGCUGUCAUGUCACGGAAGGCCUAGGUUCUGUGAGACAAAGGCCAACGGUGUGGUUCCUCUUGUACAGUGGUGUUGGUUUCCGUUCCCCGAUGUGCCAGGAGUGCCUCUCAUCCCCCAUUGGGUGCCCGAAUGAUGGGCCUGUUUAGGAGAUCCCAACCCGUGGAAAUUUCAGAACCUGAGAGUUGACCAACACUUAAGCCGGGAGCAGGAAGCAUCUUUUGGAAAUACUGAGAACUAAGUCAGGCAGGAGGAGCUUUGGCUUGACCCUUUUGGGAGAUGGGACUGGGGAACCUUGGUUAUAGAAAAUGUAUUGGUUUCUUUGAGUGACUCUGAUGUUGGCUGACAACAUUCAAAUGUCACUGCUGUGUAACUCAGGUUAACCUCUCAAAUAUUGUCAGUUUGUUGGUCCUUUCUUACCGGAGUUCUCUGGAACCUUGCCAUUGCUUUUGAUGAGCUAACAUCAGAAUAAUGUCACUUACCUGGUCACGAAAAAAUGAGGUUUUGAUUUCCAAAUUUAUAAGCUUAUUGGAACUUUUAAAAAAUUAGAUGUGUUUAUUUGUAUGUGAAUAUAUGCAAGUGUGGAGGUCAAAACAUUUUGGAGGAAUUGGUUCUCCUUUCACCAUGUGGGUUCUAGGAAUUGAAUUCAGAUGGCUAAGCUUGGCAAGUGCUUUACCAACCCUGUCAUCUCACAGCCAGCAGCUCGUGUUGUAGUGUAAAACUGAACCCAGGCCUCUUGCAUUUUGGGGAUCACCUCUGCCAUUGAGCUGUAUCUUGACACACAUACCCCAUGUGUUUGUUUAUCUUUUACUUGUUAAGCUAGAAUCUCACCAAGUUACUUGGGCUGGCCUUGAACUUCUGUAACACAAACAGGACUUGAACUCUACAUCCUCCUGCCUCAGAUUUCUGAGUAGCUGGGAUUACAAAUCUGUAGCAUUGGGCCUCAUUUUGGAACUUUUUAAAUGAUCUUUGGUUACUUGGAUCAUGAUUUGGUACAAUGACAAACAAACUGGAAUACGUCUUGGUUUCUUCUUGAGAAUGUGUGUAGUGUACAUUGUCACUCGGAGAUCAGGGGAGGGCAUCAGGUGUCCUGUCCCUCCUUAUUUUCUUUUUCUUUUUUUUUUUUUUUUUUUUUGUUCUUUUUUUCGGAGCUGGGGACCGAACCCAGGGCCUUGCGUUUGCUAGGCAAGCGCUCUACCACUGAGCUAAAUCCCCAACCCCCUUAUUUUCUUAAGAUAGUUUGUUUGGGACUGGAGAGAUGGCUCUGUGGUUAAAAGCACUGGCUGCUCUUCCAAAGGUCCUGGGUUCAAUUCCCAACACCUACAUGGUAACUCAUAGCUGUCAAUAACUAUAGUCCAUGGGGAUCCUAUGUCUUCUUCUGGUAUGCAGGCAUACAUGUAAAACAAAACACCCACAUACAUAAAAUAAUAAGUCUUUUAAAAAAUAGUUUAUUGGGGCUGGAGAGAUGGCUUAGUGGUUAAGACUGACUGCUCUUCCAGAGAUCCUGAGUUCAAAUCCCAGCAACCACAUGGUGGCUCACAACCAUCUGUAAUGAAAUCUGAUGCCUGAAGACAGCAUAAAUCUUAAAAAAAUAGCUUAUUUUACUGGACCUGAAACUGGCCAGGUUGGCUAGCCAGUGAAUUCCUACCAUCUACUUCUCCCCACCUCCUAACACUGGGGUUAUAAGCACGUGUGGCCGUACCUGGCUUUAUACAUGGUGAUGAGUAUUCGAAAUCAGGUCUGAAUGCUUGCAGCAAGCACUCAUAGAGCCUUCUCCAUAGACUUUUUUUUUGAGGAUAGGUCUUGGUAUAUAGCUUUGGUUAGCCUGGAACUCACUGUGUUGCUCAGAUUGGCCUCCUGUUGGGGAUUCUUUUCUUUUCCUCAGCUCCAGAACUCUUGAGAUAACGGGAGGUGGCCAGCAUGAGUUGUGGCUUCAGUUUCUGUGUUGUGUGGUCGCCCAGAUACUCUGACGGUGCAUUCGAAUGCUUUUCUGGUCGUUUUGAAAUUACAGAUGAAAGGAGUGGAUACAGUGUGAUUGAUUGUCAGCGUAUGAACUGUUCGCUUGUUUGUUUUUCAAGACAGGGUUUCACUGUGUAGCCCAGUUCUGGAAUUCAUGGUGUAGACUAGGCUGGCUUUCAACUCAGAUCUGCCUGUCUCUGCUGCUUGAGUAGUGUGAUUAAAGGCGUGCGUACUGGCGCCCAGCUGUAUCUGAUUUUUUUAAAAUUGUUUUUAUUUUGUUUGUGUGUGUGUGUGUGUCUGCAGCAGGAGUGUGUCUGGUGCUCUUGAACCCAGAGAGGGGCAUCAGGUCCUCUAAAGCGGGAGUUAUAGAUGGUUGUGAGCUGCCAUGUGGGUGCUGGGAAUCAAACCAGGUUCUCUGCCAGAGCAGCCAGCUGAACCAUCUGUCCAGUCCUAAUAGCCAAGGUUUGGUCCUCUUGAUUCCCAGUUGGUGUUUGUUGUUCUAUUUCUCCAGGGUCUUGAGGCAUCUUUAUUAAAUCAUGUAUUUGAGUGCCUGUGGUAUGAGGGUGAUGUAUGCGUGUGAGCAUUAGUUACUUUCUCCUUUCUCCAUACAGGAUCUAGAAAUAAGAUUUGGUGGCAAGUGUCUCACCUUCUGAGUCAUCUCACCAGCUUGAGACACUUUUUUUUUUUUUUAAGAUUUAUUUAUUUCAUGUAUGUGAGUACACUGUCUGUCUUCAGACACACCAUAAGAAGGCAUCAGAUCUCAUUACAGAUGGUUGUGAGCCACCAUGUGGUUGCUGGGAAUUGAACUCAGGACCUCUGGAAGAGCAGCCAGUGCUCUUAACCAUUGAGCCAUCUCUCCAGUCCCAUAAUGUUUUGCCUUUUAAAACUUCUGACGUGUUUUUUUUUUUUUUUUUUUUCUUUUUUUUUUUCGGAGCUGGGGACCGAACCCAGGGCCUUGCGGUUGCUAGGCAAGCACUCUACCGCUGAGCCAAAUCCCCAACCCCCUGACGUGUUGUUUUUAAGGGAGUUUGGUUUGGGACAUUGCUCUCAAUGAAGCCCAGCCUGCCUCAAACUCAGAGUCCUGUCUUCCUUUGAGAUGUCUGCUGCCAUCACUUGAUUUGUUAGUUCCUUUUGUUUCACUCUAAGUUUUCUGUGGAAGAUGACCCCAAGCUACUACUCAUCCCUUUGCCUCCACCUCCUAGGUGCUGGGAUUACAGACGUGUGUCCAGGAAGGCUUGAACACUCCUGUAGCCAAAAGUUCAUGAAAAGAUGGUUUUAAGAUUUAUUAACUUUAUAUAUAUAAUUAUAACGUAGCUGUCUUCAGACACACCAGAGAAGGCAUCAGAUCCCAUUACAGAUGGUUGUGAGCCACUAUGUAGUUGGCAGGGAAUUGAACUCAGGACCUCUGGAAGAGCAGUCAGUACUCUUAACCACUGAGCCAUUUCUCCAGUCCCCUCCUCUUAAUCUUUUAAACAAUCUUGCAUUAAGGGAAGUUGAAAUAACCAGCAAAUAGUUGUUGCUAUUUGCGCUAGCCUUGAGGAAUCCAGUCCUUAUAGAAAAAUAGGAUUAUAUUAGAGUUGUCUGUUGUGUAGUUCCAAGUAUUUCAUUAGCACUCAGGAAAAUGAAAGUGAUGUGUAAGUUAAGACACUUCCAGCAAAAGAACCACAUGUAUCUCUUGUCAAGGGCAAAAUCUAAGCCAGCUUUGUUCAUAGCAAGUCUACAUUGUAUGUUAGAAGAGCUUCAUAAAAAACAGAUCCAAGAAUAAGAAGUUGGCCAGGUGGUGGUAUCCUAUACCUUAAAUCCCAGCACUCAGCCAGGAAUACAGAACAAAAAACAGAAGGAACAAAAAAGGGAGUUAGUUGAGGGCUGAUGAGAUGGCUCAGUGGGUACAAGCAGUUGGGUUAGACUAAUGACCUGAGUUCAGGACUCAGGAACCCACAGCAGUGGAAGGAGAGAGUCAGCUCUACCAGUUUUUCUCUGACCUCCACACGUGUGUGCCUUACACUUACACACACACGGGGGCGGGGGGAGUGAGUUAAGACAGGGUCUUACUAUGUAGUCCUGGAACUCACUCUAUAGACCAGGCUGAGAUCUGUCUGCCUCUGCCCUCUGCUGGGAUUAAAGGCAUUCACCGCUAGGACAGGCUGAGGAAGGACGGUAUCAUUUAAAAUAUUAGUUUCUUUUGUUAUUUUGCCCUGUAAGAGAGAGGAAGUCUGCGUCAGAGAUACCUGUUUUUGAGUCCUGUGGCUUUCCUUGAUUCUCAGACUUGUUAAUGCUCUUGAUACAGGAAAAUGAAAUUCUAGUUAUGGAAAAGUUUUGGGGUGGCUUAUUUAUUCUUUAUUUUUGAAACGGUCUCACUGUGUAGCCUUUGAACUCAGAUGUCUCCUUGCCAGUGCAGGGAUUAAAGGCAUGCAGCACACUGCCCUCUAGGUGAUUUCUUAGAAGAGAAAUGCUCCAUAAUACUGUUUGUGCAGGCGUCUCCUGGAUUAGAACUUAUUUGUGUUUUUGUUGUAGUGUAACAUUGUGUUUAUGUUGUGGGCUGGGGAAGUCAGAGGACAGUGUGUAAGAGUGGGUUUUCUUUAUGUACCAUGUGUGUUUCCCAGAUUGAAUUUAGGUUGUUAGACUUGGCCACACUACAAACUCUUAGCCAUCUCCCCAGUACAGGGUUGAUUUCUUGAGCUUUCCUCAGGAAAGAUGACGUGGUUCCGGAUGUGCUGUAGUCGGUAGGAUGAUUGCCUAGCAUGUAUAAAGAGGGAGGCUAUCCUGAGGCUACAUUACUGUUAUAACUUCACGGACUUCACCUGAUUGUGUUUUGGAAGAUUUAGGAAGUGAACGUGUAUUGAAUUCAUUGUUGCAAACUGAGUACAGCCACACACACUGGAGUGCAGCUUACUGAACAGCACAAGUCACUCACUGAACGAGCAUCAGAGAGGAAGAGUUACCAUAAUCCUGUCUGGAUCUUAUUUACAUGUUUAUCAAACCAAAUUAACUUCCUUCAGAACAGAAGAGCUGCUUGUGGCUUCGAGUCAAGGCUCACCAAAUCCCAUUCAUUCAGUGCCAUGCUGACCCUGGGCUUUUCACUAAAGUAGUGAUUUUAUAAAGUAGUGAUUUAUCCCUUUUAUUCCUAAAGUAGUGAUAAAGUUACAAUUUGCUUAAUGGUUAAGUUUUUUGUUUUAAUCCAGCGACGUUAGAUACCUAAAGAAGCUCCCUCAGUCCAUAUGCAUCUGCUUUGACUGGUGGUCUCUGUCAACCUACAAAGACUGACCUAUUGCUGAGGGCAGCUGGACAACCCUGAGAACAACUUAGAGCACUCCAUCUUGGGCACCCUGUAAGGAGCUUCUCUGGAGAUAGCACCCCAUGUAAGUGCAGAAAACAAGACACCCACGUGGACUACUACUUCCCGCUUCUAACACCCUGAUGCCUGAAGAAUUUGCCAGCACUAUCAAGAGCUGGGGAGAGCGAAGAUGGAAAGGGUCUAGCAACUAAAAGCAGACGUAGUAUUCUCUGAGAAGUCACCUUUCCCCUGUUGGUGGCUCAGUUUAUUUAGGAGAUGCAGAAGACAAAGGUAGACAAAGAAGAGCUGAGCGACAUGGCUCCUCCUCUAUUCCUGUGUCGCAGUUUGCAUGCGUCCAUGCUCAGCAUUGACCCGUGUGGCCACUGUCAGUCCUGAAAGAUUGGCUUCUUAACGAGGAGUGGGAAGGCUCAGGUCUCAUCUUGGCUUAUUUACAGAACUCUAAUGGAGAGAAGUAGAUGUGAUCCAGAAAAAGAAUUUUUUUGAUUAAAUCCUUUUAUGUGGUGUGUUAUUAAUUAAAGUUUUAACUAGUUUUUAUGUCUUAGUUUUUAUUUUGUUAUUUGCUGUGUCUUUUGAUGUUAAUUUAUUUACAAGGUGCUUGUUAUUUAACUUCCUUCAAGUCUGUGUGAACCAAAUCUGUGUAAACAUAAAUUAGAGAUCAAUACUUUUCUACUUGAAAACUAACUUAUAAUUUAUUUUUGAUAUGAGAGAGAAAGGGGGGAGGGGGGAGGGAGAAGGAAAUACCUAGCAGGACAUAUUUAAAGACAACGUUUGUCUUUUUAUUCAUUCGUUCAUUUUGAGCUCAGGUCUGGGUGCGUAGCUUUGCUUGGCUUGACAUGUGCUAUGCAGAGCAGAUGGGCUCCAGACUCCUAAAGACCCACUUCCUGUGCCACCUGUGUGCUGAGAGGGAAGGUGUGUGGCACAGCUGGUUCUGGUUGUCUUUGAUUGACUUGGAUAUUGUAUGUCCUGGCAGAAGUGCUCCAUGGUGCACACAGGGCAGCCUCACAGGUACUUACUUGGUGCUGUGUGUAUUUUCCUUUAGGUCAGUUAAGUGCAGUUAAUAGUCAGCAAGGUGAUUAAGGGUCUGUCUCAUGGUCAUGUCAGCUGUGUGAGGCCCAGCUCUGCCUCGCACACUGCAGUUUCUAGGACAGUCACAAGACUGCUGCUGUAAGGUCCAUGAACUCACACAGGUGGGGCUUGGAGCGGCCUAGAGCUGGAGGUGGUGAGCUGGUCCAUAUCUCAGCAAGCACAGUGCACGGGGCAGUUCCUGGCAUUUACACAUUGUAAAUGCUUUGUUUGUUACAGGACCUCCUUACACCCUUAGUCUCAGUCUAUCGGUCUCAGGAUGCAGCACUGCACGUGGCCCCUUACUGGGUUCUGAGCUCAGCCCAAGUCAUCUGCACCAACAUAGUCUGAGUCCACAGGGUACCUGAGCGUCAGUCUUUCAGAGAACAGUUCUCUGUCCAGCCACUCUCUGGUCUUUGCAGAACCCUCGCUGGACUGCCUCUCUCACUGUUGUAGGGCUAAAUUCCUGCUAACACGUCUCUAUUUGUGUGUGUGCUCAUGUGUUUGUGACUGAGGACAGCUUGCAUAAAUCUGUUUUCUUCCUCUACUAUGUGGGCACCACAGAUAAACUCAGAUCACCAAACUUGGUGCCUUUAGCCACUGAGCCAUCUUACUACCCUGUUUUGGUUUUGAUAUAUUUUUGUGUAUUCCUUUGGGAAUUUCUUACCUGUAUUCCAUCUUCAACCCACUCAGCCUUUCCAGAUUUAUUUCCUUUUGGGUUCGUUUGUUUGUUUCCUUGGUUUUCCAAGACACUUUGUUUCUAUAGCCCUCGCUUUCCUGGUACUGACUUUGUAGACCAGUCUGGUUUUGAACUCACAGAGUUUCCCCUGCCUCUGCCUUCUGAGUGCAGUGGUUAAAGGCAUGCGCCACCAUAUCUGGUUGAGUUUAGAUUUUUUAAAUUUAUUCUUCUUAUUUCAAAUUAUGUGUGUAGAGGGAAUGUGGGCUGUGUGCCAUGUGAGUGCAGUUCCCUCAGAGGCCAGAAGAGGGCAUCAGAUCCCCUGGAACUCUGGCCCCUGCAGAACAGCAUAUUCUCCUAGCAGCUGGGCCAUCUCUCCAGCCCUUCAAUUUAGAUUUCAUGGAGCCUGCCCUUUUCCCCCGAGCUUUAGAAAAUGGAGAGAACCCAAUGUAAGUAGAAAAUAAGUCAGGGUCACUUUUCUUUAAGUAGAUGCAUGCAUCCAGUUUAAGUUUGAAGAACAACAUCAUAUUACAAAGUGAUUAUAGUUAUUGUAUGUAUAUAAAAUUACUGGGAGAAAAGUUCCCAAAAGGCCAACAGUGGGCUGUGUAAAAUGUUCACUGUUUGUUUUCUUUUCGUUGCCUGUGUCUGGCCUGGCCUUGGACUCACAGGGAUCUGUCUGCCUUACCUUUCCAAGUAUUGGGACUGCAUGUGUGUGCCCCCACACCGGCUGUGAUGGCUUUUUACUCAGGUGCCCGAGUGGUUUGGUGAGUUGUCCUGUCCCCUGUGGGUCACUGCUUCUUGGCUUGUACAGCUGCGUGAGUGUGGUGCUCUGAGGGUGUAGCCCCAGAGUCCUGCUUCCUCUCAAUUCUUGCAGGAACUGGGAGGCCAGGGAAGUGUCCCUUGGCUUUUAGCCUCUUGGGUUUCUGGAGAGCUGACUGAAGAAUAUGAUUUGUAGUCCAUUUAGUUAUUCUCUUUUUUUAGAUUUAUGUAUGUGAGUACACGGUAGCUGUCUUCAGACGCGCCAGAAGAGGGCAUCAGGUCCCAUUACAGAUGGUUGUGAGCCACCAUGUGGUUGCUGGGAUUUGAACUCAAGACUUUUAGAAGAGCAGUCAGUGCUCUUAACCACUGAGCCAUCUUGUCCUUUGGAACUUUUCUUUUUCUUUGAGACAUCAUCUCACUGUGUAGCUUUGGCUGACCUAAAACUGCCUGUGUAGGUCAGGCCAGCCUCCAGUUCAUAGGCAUCCACCAGCCUCUGCCUCCUGUGUGUGGGAUUAACCUGGCACCACGACCAAAUGCUUCCAGACUUUUGAAGUACAAAGAUGGACGGAGGUUGACUGGACACAGCUGGGUGCAUCCCCUGAAAACUCCACUCUCCCAAGGUUGUACGGCUGUACACCUGUCAUCUUGUCUGUCCAGAAGACAGAGGCAGGAGGUCACCCUGGUCAUUAGUAAAAUCCUGUUUUGUCUGUGGAAGAUGGAAGCCUGUGAGUGGGAUCUGAGUGGCUUUGUCCUGACUUCCUGUUGUGUAAGGUAGGAGAGGAAAGGAAAAGUGGGAAACUCUAGAGAACACUGUGAUGCAUAACUAACAGAUGGGGCGGUUUUCAUAAUGGCUUAUGCGUACAUUUAGAAGUCUCUUGAUUGUAGUGAACUAAAAAGUAGCAUUUAUUUAUUUAAUGUGUGAAUAUUUGCCUGCAUGUGUAUAAGUGCACCAUGUGUAUGUGUCAUCCCCUAGAAGUGGAGUUGUGCGUGGUUGUGACCCACCAUGUGAGUUCUGAGGAUUAAACCACUGAGCCAUCUCAGCAGCUCCAAAAGUAGUGCAGAGAGGGAGGGAGGGGGGAAAGAGAGGGAGAGGGACAGGAGAGGGAGCAUUGCCUGCAUUUAUGUCUGGAUACCAAGUGCACACGUGGUACCUGCAAAGGCCAGAAGCGGGAAUAUGAUCCCCUGGGUGUCGAGUUACUGACAGUUAAUAGCUACCAUGUAGGUGCUAGGAGUCGAACCUGGGUCCUCCGAAAGAAUAGACAGUAUUUUUUUUAGAUUUAUUUAUUUUAUCUAUAUGUUAGUACACUGUAGUUCUCUUCAGGCACUUCAGAAGAGAGCAUCCCAUUACAGAUGGUUGUGAGCCACCAUGUAGUUGCUGGGAAUUGAACUCAGGACCUCUGGAAGAGCAGUUAGUGCUUUUAACCGCUGAGCCAUCUCUCCAGCCCCUAGACAGCAUUCUUAGCUGCUAAGCCAUCUAUCUCUUCUGUCCCCCAAAUGCAGCUUUACUUUUUUAAUGUAUUUGCAUGUAUUUAUGUCCAUUUGUGCCUGGUGGGGGUUUGCAUGUGGAUGUCAGAGGUUAGCUUUGUGGAGUAGGUGGUCAGUCUCUGGCCGUUUUUCUUUGAUUCUGGGGAUUAAACUCCUGUCAGGCCUGCACAGCUGCCUUAUCCGCUGCACCAUCUUGUAGGCCUUAUAUAAACUCUGUGUUUGGCCUUUCGUCCUGCAAAUUUUUUCUGCAGUCCAGUUGAGUCCCGAGUGCUAAGUUCUAAGUCACUCUGUAGUACAUCUCCCCUGGCCGAAGGCUUGGUGCUCCCUGUGAUGGUGCCUUGUGGUGCUGUCAGGCGUUGGUGUUUCCUCCUUUGUGAGCUUUUAAUUCCUUGAUGCUUGAGUCAGAAAACAGGCAAGUAUUAUUUCUUUGUCAGACCUGUUGGAUUCCGAUGAGUUUGCCGUUGAGUCAUAUAGAGUAGUGAUAUAAAGUGGUAGUACUAUAUAUAGUCAUGUAUAUAGUGCAAACUGAGAAGCUCUAACAUAAAAUCGCAAAGGACAAAACUGUGAUCACAGACAUGACAUCCCAAGUAGAGGGCCAAGUGUGAUGUCUCCUUGAGUAAAGACUUAAUUCCUAAGCAUGAGGACCUGGUUUUGGAUGCCCAGCAUCCUGAUAAAGCUGGGCAUGGUAGCACACGCUGUAGUCUCUGCACUGGAGGGGGAGAUGGGGAUCCUGAUGGUCUGGCCCACUGCUCCAGCCGAUGGCUGGGCUUCAGCUUCAGGACAGCCGUUGUCGUAAGAAAGAGGGGGAGAACAAUAGAGGAAGACACCCAGCAUCACCUCUGAUGAGUACCUACACACAUGAGUACCUGUACUCAUGCACACUACAUGUGUAAACACAGAAAUAAAGACAAAAUUAAAACCAAGUGGGAAGUUUCUCUCCUCUGUGUACUGGGUCACAGGUAUGGAUGGGCAUGGUGUAAGUACUUAUAAUUCUGGUUACUCAGGAGUUGAUAUUUCUAAAAUGUAUGUGAAACAUACAUUUUGUGAAUAGAGUUAUGUUCCAUCCCUAUGGUAGCUUAGCGUCUAGCUCUCCAAAUUUAAAAAGAUGUUAAGUAACUUUCAUCUCAAGCAUUUCAGAUAAGGCAUACUCAAUCCAUAAAGCAAAGUGUGUAUGAUUAAUAUGCAAAGCAGGAUAAGAACUAAGAAACGCAUAGUGUGUAGCUUGGUGGGAGAGUGCUGGCCUACUAUGUGCAAGGCCCUGGGUUCUAUCCCCAGUGUUCGAGGCAGUGGAGAGCUAACAGAGAGCUAGGUGAAGCAAGGAAGACUUCACAGAAGUUGCGGCAUCCAAAGGUUCGUUUCCAUUCAGCAGACUUUGAUUCCAACAGUAAGGAGUAAGACAAACAAAGACAGGAAAGUUUUCUGGCCCCAAGUGUUCCAAUUGUGGCCAGAAUGAUGAAGACUCAAAGAGGACGGUUAGAAGAGCACAGUGGGCCUGGUGGAUGGCUGAGUGGCGGUGUUGGCUUACCCAGGCUUUAGGAAGAAUAACGAGUCCUAUUAACAAGAACGGGGUACCCGACACGGAGCAGCAGCAGUGCAGAUGUGGCUGAAGUGAUCUGUUGCCUCUAACCCCACCUGAGGAAUUCCUGACAGGCAGGAUGUGUGGGGCCCUUUGCAUGUAUGUGGCACUGGAGACCUGGCUGCCCCGAGUGUGCAAGCUCCCGUGCAUAGCUUCCGCCCCAGCAAGUGGCUCUUCAGGAGAACAGCUACGCCCACGCUAGGGACCACAUAUUAGUGCCUUCCCUGUCUCCUGUGUUCUCAUCAAGAUGCUGACACCAAACUCUUUGUUUUAUUUUGUUAUUAUUGAGAUAGCGCCCCACUAAAUAGUCCUGGCUAGCCUGAAAUGCUCUAUGUUGUGAAGGCUGGCUUCCAACUUACAGAGAGCCAUCUUCCUCUACCUUCUUAGUGCUAAGAUUAAAGUGUGUACCACUAAGCCCAGCCUCAGAUGCUUUUAUUUUCUUACUGGAUAGACCGUACUGACCCCAAACUGACCCCAAACCUGCUCCUGCCUGUGCCAAGUGGUGGGGUUAAAGACUAUGCCACCACACCCUGUCAAACUUUUAAGAGCACCAAAAUUUUAUUUUACAGCAGCCUCAAGAGAACAGUUAAGUAUUGGAUACCAGCUAGAUAGAGGAUAGAGUCACAGUGCACAGUGAUUCAGUGUUAGUAUGUCCCAUGGAGUAUGAUAGGAUAGGAAACUACUCAGUGUUUAUCUGGAGCUCCUUUUUUUUUUUUUUUUUUUUUUUUUUUUUUUUUUUUUAGUAUAGAAUAGUUUAUUCACCGCAUGAGGAAGGGAGUUGAGAGGGUAGUAGGGACAGAAGGGCAGAGAGAGUGAGCAGAGAAGUAGAGGCUGGCCAUGAGCACGUGGAGAGGUGGGAGGGGCAAGAGGACAGAGUAGCAGUGAGCCCUGGAGCUCUGGGGUUUUUUUUGUUUUGUUUUGUUUUCUUUCUUUUUUUUUUUUUUUUUUUGUUUUCUUUUUUUCGGAGCUGGGGAUCGAACCCAGGGCCUUGCGCUUGCUAGGCAAGCGCUCUACCACUGAGCUAAAUCCCCAACCCCUGGAGCUCUGUUUUUAAAAAAGAUUUAUUAUAUAUAAACAUAUAUACUAUAGCUGUCCUCAGAUACACCAGAAGAGGGCAUCAGAUCUCAUUACAGACGGUUGUGAGCCACCAGGUGGUUGCUGGGGUUUGAACUCAGGACCUUAGGAAGAGCAGUCAGUGCUCUUAACCUCUGAGCCAUCUCUCCAGGCACCUGGAAGUCCAUCUUACGUAGGUGUUCUGUAUUUACUUCAGGAGUAGGAAGAACGUAUGCUUCUCAAAGAAGGAUCAGUCUCGUAGCUUGGAGCAUGGGUAUACCCUAAUUUAGUGCCAGGAUUUGGUAUCUGAAUAUAGCCAAGAAGGCACAGUGUCUUUCUAGCCAGGCAGACAGACAGGAGAGAUCUUUUGUUUAAAUGUCAAAGAUCCAGGAGAGCAUCAGGCCGUAUGGCCUCCCAGAUUUUUCUCCAAUGUCUCGGGAUGUCUCUGGGGCCCAGUGGCAAUAGCUGCACAGCCUGUGGGUUUGCUGCACUCACUUCUGUAGAGGAGCUUGGCCCUCAUGGGAUUGGAUGCCGUGUGUCUCUCCAUCCCGCCUGGGUCACAGGGACCCUUCUUGGUUCCUAAGAUAGCAGGAGCAAAGUCUUCACACCCCUGUCCACCUUUCUGUCAGUCCCACACAUAAUGUAUUUCCCAUGAAACCUGCUCCUGUCUCUGUGCCCUCACACCAGACACUUCUAUCUGAUCCCUGCUUUCAUUGGUCUGACUAGUCCUCAGGCAUGUGGGCUGAAGCCUGUUUCUAUGCCCUGCAGACCUAGGCUCCACCUGAACAGCAGCCGCCAGUUCAAACCGGGUUGCUUCCGCCUUGCCCCUUAUGCCUAUGUAUGUAACCAGUCUGCAGUGGGCACUCUGCAUCUCUCCUCACCUCACAACCCAGUGGUUACUUGUAUAAUUAACACUUGAAAGAAUGUCUGAAGAAAAUGGCCUGCCAAUGGUUUUGAAGAUGGCAGCAGCCAGUGACCUGAGUUUGAUCCUGGAACCCACAUAAAGGUGGAAGGAGAAUUGUCAUAGAAUUGUCCUCUGACUUCCACACAUGUGCUGUGGCAUAUGUUCCCAUUCCCACCCAGCCACGAGCACACUAUACACAAUGAAAUAUUUAAAGAAAACUGCACUCACAGCCUAGUCAACAGGACAGUUUCCACCCCAGUCUGGGAGAGCCUUAGGUGGGAUUAAGUGAAGAAAACAAAUUGUCCCCAAUAUGUCCCAUCGGGGGUGAAGGGGUUUGAAGCCCUCUACUGUAGAGUAUGGGGGAGACUUUGACACCCUGACACAUGAGGGUAGAAGAGAGAACAGCCCCAGCUGUUGUCUUGCGUAGGGUGAUGGGAUGGUUUAGUCUAAGGAGGAGGUUAGGACCUUGUGUGAACUCCUUCCCAGUAUUCGUGCAGGUGUGAAGACGUCUCAAGGACAGUGACUAGAGCUUGUCCAGAGGGACACUUUGCAAACAGGGCCCCAAAGCAGUGUCUCCAUAUUUCUUCCCUCAGUCCACAGUGCCAACUUGGUCCCUAGUGUAGGGGAGGUCUCCGGAUGGUCAGGUGCAUGUGGACAGCAGGGAACCACAGACCGCUCACCCUCUUGUGAAUAACCCUUUCCCUAUGAUUAGUGGCUUGGCCUGGGAAACCUCAGAGGGCUCGCUCAGCCAAGCUGCUGCUGAAUACUACAGCUGGCCC